GAUGAACGCUAGCUACAGGCUUAACACAUGCAAGUCGAGGGGCAGCAUGGUCUUAGCUUGCUAAGGCCGAUGGCGACCGGCGCACGGGUGAGUAACACGUAUCCAACCUGCCGUCUACUCUUGGACAGCCUUCUGAAAGGAAGAUUAAUACAAGAUGGCAUCAUGAGUCCGCAUGUUCACAUGAUUAAAGGUAUUCCGGUAGACGAUGGGGAUGCGUUCCAUUAGAUAGUAGGCGGGGUAACGGCCCACCUAGUCUUCGAUGGAUAGGGGUUCUGAGAGGAAGGUCCCCCACAUUGGAACUGAGACACGGUCCAAACCCCUACGGGAGGCAGCAGUGAGGAAUAUUGGUCAAUGGGCGAGAGCCUGAACCAGCCAAGUAGCGUGAAGGAUGACUGCCCUAUGGGUUGUAAACUUCUUUUAUAAAGGAAUAAAGUCGGGUAUGCAUACCCGUUUGCAUGUACUUUAUGAAUAAGGAUCGGCUAACUCCGUGCCAGCAGCCGCGGUAAUACGGAGGAUCCGAGCGUUAUCCGGAUUUAUUGGGUUUAAAGGGAGCGUAGAUGGAUGUUUAAGUCAGUUGUGAAAGUUUGCGGCUCAACCGUAAAAUUGCAGUUGAUACUGGAUAUCUUGAGUGCAGUUGAGGCAGGCGGAAUUCGUGGUGUAGCGGUGAAAUGCUUAGAUAUCACGAAGAACUCCGAUUGCGAAGGCAGCCUGCUAAGCUGCAACUGACAUUGAGGCUCGAAAGUGUGGGUAUCAAACAGGAUUAGAUACCCUGGUAGUCCACACGGUAAACGAUGAAUACUCGCUGUUUGCGAUAUACAGCAAGCGGCCAAGCGAAAGCGUUAAGUAUUCCACCUGGGGAGUACGCCGGCAACGGUGAAACUCAAAGGAAUUGACGGGGGCCCGCACAAGCGGAGGAACAUGUGGUUUAAUUCGAUGAUACGCGAGGAACCUUACCCGGGCUUAAAUUGCAGAUGAAUUACGGUGAAAGCCGUAAGCCGCAAGGCAUCUGUGAAGGUGCUGCAUGGUUGUCGUCAGCUCGUGCCGUGAGGUGUCGGCUUAAGUGCCAUAACGAGCGCAACCCUUGUUGUCAGUUACUAACAGGUUCCGCUGAGGACUCUGACAAGACUGCCAUCGUAAGAUGUGAGGAAGGUGGGGAUGACGUCAAAUCAGCACGGCCCUUACGUCCGGGGCUACACACGUGUUACAAUGGGGGGGUACAGAGGGCCGCUACCACGCGAGUGGAUGCCAAUCCCAAAAACCUCUCUCAGUUCGGACUGGAGUCUGCAACCCGACUCCACGAAGCUGGAUUCGCUAGUAAUCGCGCAUCAGCCACGGCGCGGUGAAUACGUUCCCGGGCCUUGUACACACCGCCCGUCAAGCCAUGGGAGCCGGGGGUACCUGAAGUGCGUAACCGCGAGGAGCGCCCUAGGGUAAAACUGGUGACUGGGGCUAAGUC
rnacentral:rRNA from 1 species